GGCUGCAGCUCGCCUACAUGAAGUUGGAAUCGCUAGUAAUCGCGAAUCAGAAUGUCGCGGUGAAUACGUUCCCGGGUCUUGUACACACCGCCCGUCACACCACGAGAGUUUACAACACCCGAAGUCCAGUGGCCUAACCGCAAGGAGGGAGCUGCCUAAGGUGGGGUAGAUGAUUGGGGUGAAGUCGUAACAAGGUACC
rnacentral:rRNA from 1 species